ACUCGACUUUUAGAUCCCUAGUUUCACCAUGUCACCUGCAUUGUGAAAUCUUUAUACUCCAUCAUUUUCAAUUCUCUGGAUUAGCUAAUUCUUAUUUCCAGACGUUGAAAUACCCAGCUCCCUGUAUUUCGCCUGCAAUUGCUUCAAGGAAUAAUGAAUGCAAAAUAAGUGGUCUACAAAAGGUUGAUAGACUCAAUUCAUGACCAUCCAAAUUUGGCAAAAAAAUCCAAAUUGUAGCUAAGGGUAGGCAACAUCUCGAGAAAAAAUGAGGCCAAAUCGUGGAGAAAUGUAAGAAACGGCCAAUUGCAGCUUUGGUGGUACCGUGGCGGGCAUGAGCCCUUUGAAAAUUUCCUCAAAUCAUGUCAUAUCAAUUAAAGUAAAAGCAAUUUAUUAUCGUUAAAACAGCUUGGUCGCUGUUUUGGAGCCGUGGGCUAGCGGACCGUGGACGUAGCAACAAGACUCGGCACCGCGCUUUAUCACGUGUAAACCAAGAAUGGCUAAAAAAUCAUGUUCCGUACUUCAUUUGGUACACAGUCUGGCUCUCCAAUUCUAUAAUUUCUCUGCGAAUACGAAAGCAAUGUUACCAUGCUUUUUUUUAUUUAUAAAUUCACGUUUGUUUCCAAAAAUUUCAAUAAAUUCAUAUUUUUUACAAAAGCCGGCUAGAUGUUAAUUGUCA